CCUACGGGUGGCAGCAGUGAGGAAUAUUGGUCAAUGGACGUAAGUCUGAACCAGCCAAGUCGCGUGAAGGAAGACGGCUCUAUGGAUUGUAAACCGCUUUUGUACGGGGGUAAAGUGAGGUACGUGUACCGUUCUGAAUGUACCUUACGAAUAAGGAUCGGCUAACUCCGUGCCAGCAGCCGCGGUAAUACGGAGGAUUCGAGCGUUAUCCGGAUUUAUUGGGUUUAAAGGGUGCGUAGGCGGUCUUUUAAGUCAGAGGUGAAAGCCUGAGGCUCAACCUUGGAAUUGCAUUUGAUACUGUUAGGCUAGAGAGUAGUUGAGGUAGGCGGAAUGUGUGGUGUAGCGGUGAAAUGCUUAGAGAUCAUACAGAACACCGAUUGCGAAGGCAGCUUACCAAGCUACGACUGACGCUGAGGCACGAAAGCGUGGGGAGCAAACAGGAUUAGAUACCCGAGUAGUC
rnacentral:rRNA from 1 species